rnacentral:tRNA from 1 species
GUUUCCGUAGUGCAGUGGUCAUCACGUUUGCCUCACAUGCAAAAGGUCCCCAGUUCGAAACUGGGCGGAAACA